rnacentral:rRNA from 1 species
UACGUAGGGAGCAAGCGUUGUCCGGAAUCAUUGGGCGUAAAGCGUGCGCAGGCGGCUAUCUACGUCCGGGGUGAAAGCCCAGAGCUCAACUCUGGGAUUGCCUUGGAUACGGGAUGGCUUGAGGAUCGGAGAGGCAAGGGGAAUUCCACGUGUAGCGGUGAAAUGCGUAGAGAUGUGGAGGAACACCUGUGGCGAAGGCGCCUUGCUGGCCGAUUUCUGACGCUGAGGCGCGAAAGCGUGGGGAGCAAACAGG